ACUCCUACGGGAGGCAGCAGUGGGGAAUAUUGGACAAUGGGCGAAAGCCUGAUCCAGCCAUGCCGCGUGGGUGAAGAAGGCCUUCGGGUUGUAAAGCUCUUUUAGUCGGAAAGAAAGAGUUGCAAUGAAUAAUUGUGAUUUAUGACGGUACCGACAGAAAAAGCACCGGCUAACUACGUGCCAGCAGCCGCGGUAAUACGUAGGGUGCGAGCGUUAAUCGGAAUUACUGGGCGUAAAGGGUGCGCAGGCGGUCUUGCAAGUCAGAUGUGAAAGCCCCGGGCUUAACCUGGGAAUUGCGUUUGAAACUACAAGGCUAGAGUGCAGCAGAGGGGGAUGGAAUUCCGCGUGUAGCAGUGAAAUGCGUAGAUAUGCGGAGGAACACCGAUGGCGAAGGCAAUCCCCUGGGCCUGCACUGACGCUCAUGCACGAAAGCGUGGGGAGCAAACAGGAUUAGAUACCCUGGUAGUC
rnacentral:rRNA from 1 species